UUGACGAAACAAACUUAUCUCAUUAAUUCAAGUAAAGCAUUACAAAUGAAACACAAACACAAAACAUUCAGAGAAAAUGAACCAAAAAAAAAAAAAAAACAGUUUCUCCCUCAAUCUUGAAAUUGGUAAAAAUCAAAGUUUAAGUUAGUUGCCAAGACAUCAAAGAAAUUACCGCCUCACCCCAAAGUUCCACCUUGGUUAGGCUGUGUGGGGGUUUGAAGACCGUUGAUGAGGAUAAGGUUGGUAGGGUUGAGGAUACAUUUGAGGCAAGGGAGGCAUGACAUAGUUGUGCUAAUAGAAAUCAAGCACACUAAUGUGCUAUGUGUUGGUACUUCAAAACCUUUAAGCAUAUGUCAUCCUUUCAUGUUGGUCUGUCAACCAAGCUGAUGGUACAUUUAUGAAUAAGUAUUUGUCGUGCAUAUAACAUAACAUUAUCAUUCGAAAUCGAUGUUCAUCAGUUCGCUCAUCCUGCAUCUCAAAUGGCGAGUAAUGGUGAGGUGCGUGCGGUUGAGGAGGCUAGGAUUAUUGCUCUUGUUGUUGAGUCUGCAGCGGUUGAGAGGGGCCGUCAGCAGGAACCUUGUCAAAACCUCUUGUGCUAACUAUCAAACCAUCUCAUGGUCAUAGAUUUUCGAGGAGUAAAUUUACCAUCAUUAUGGUUACUCUCAACCCCUUGUGACAAACAAACAUAUGGAUAAUUGAAGCAUGCCUCAUAACCGCU
rnacentral:lncRNA from 1 species